UGGCGGCGUGCCUAACACAUGCAAGUCGAGCGAGAGACUUCGGUCUCUAGCGGCGGACGGGUGAGUAACACGUGGGUAACCUGACCUCAAACAGGGGGAUAGCCUUCCGAAAGGAAGAUUAAUACCGCAUAACAUAGUUUAACCGCAUGGUUAGAUUAUCAAAGGAGUAAUCCGGUUUGAGAUGGACCCGCGGCGCAUUAGCUAGUUGGUGAGGUAACGGCUCACCAAGGCGACGAUGCGUAGCCGACCUGAGAGGGUGAUCGGCCACAUUGGAACUGAGAUACGGUCCAAACUCCUACGGGAGGCAGCAGUGGGGAAUAUUGCACAAUGGGCGAAAGCCUGAUGCAGCAACGCCGCGUGAGUGAUGAAGGCCUUCGGGUUGUAAAGCUCUGUCUUUGGGGACGAUAAUGACGGUACCCAAGGAGGAAGCCACGGCUAACUACGUGCCAGCCGCCGC
rnacentral:rRNA from 1 species